rnacentral:rRNA from 1 species
AUUGAACGCUGGCGGCAUGCCUUACACAUGCAAGUCGAACGGUAACGGGCCUUCGGGUGCCGACGAGUGGCGAACGGGUGAGUAAUACAUCGGAACGUGCCCGAUCGUGGGGGAUAACGAGGCGAAGGCUUUGCUAAUACCGCAUACGAUCUACGGAUGAAAGCAGGGGACCGCAAGGCCUUGCGCGGACGGAGCGGCCGAUGGCAGAUUAGGUAGUUGGUGGGAUAAAAGCUUACCAAGCCGACGAUCUGUAGCUGGUCUGAGAGGAUGAUCAGCCACACUGGGACUGAGACACGGCCCAGACUCCUACGGGAGGCAGCAGUGGGGAAUUUUGGACAAUGGGCGCAAGCCUGAUCCAGCCAUGCCGCGUGCAGGAUGAAGGCCUUCGGGUUGUAAACUGCUUUUGUACGGAACGAAAAGCCUUCUUUUAAUACAGGAGGGUCAUGACGGUACCGUAAGAAUAAGCACCGGCUAACUACGCG